AUUGAACGCUGGCGGAAUGCUUUACACAUGCAAGUCGAGCGGCAGCACGGGGGCAACCUUGGUGGCGAGCGGCGAACGGGUGAGUAACACAUCGGAACGUACCCUGUCGUGGGGGAUAACGAAUCGAAAGAUUCGCUAAUACCGCAUACGACCCGAGGGUGAAAGCGGGGGAUCGCAAGACCUCGCGCGACAGGAGCGGCCGAUGGCGGAUUAGCUAGUUGGUGGGGGUAAAGGCCCACCAAGGCGACGAUCCGUAGCGGGUCUGAGAGGACGGCCCGCCACACUGGGACUGAGACACGGUCCAGACUCCUACGGGAGGCAGCAGUGGGGAAUUUUGGACAAUGGGGGCAACCCGGAUCCAGCCAUGCCGCGUGAGUGAAGAAGGCCUC
rnacentral:rRNA from 1 species